GAUGAACGCUGGCGGCGUGCCUAAUACAUGCAAGUCGAGCGAACAGACGAGGAGCUUGCUCCUCUGACGUUAGCGGCGGACGGGUGAGUAACACGUGGAUAACCUACCUAUAAGACUGGGAUAACUUCGGGAAACCGGAGCUAAUACCGGAUAAUAUAUUGAACCGCAUGGUUCAAUAGUGAAAGACGGUUUUGCUGUCACUUAUAGAUGGAUCCGCGCCGCAUUAGCUAGUUGGUAAGGUAACGGCUUACCAAGGCAACGAUGCGUAGCCGACCUGAGAGGGUGAUCGGCCACACUGGAACUGAGACACGGUCCAGACUCCUACGGGAGGCAGCAGUAGGGAAUCUUCCGCAAUGGGCGAAAGCCUGACGGAGCAACGCCGCGUGAGUGAUGAAGGUCUUCGGAUCGUAAAACUCUGUUAUGAGGGAAGACCAAAUGUGUAAGUAACUAUGCACGUCUUGACGGUACCUAAUCAGAAAGCCACGGCUAACUACGUG
rnacentral:rRNA from 1 species